AGCCCAGAAUGAUGAAUUCUGUGUGGGAAGUACCAGGGAUUUCAACAGGACUAACACGAACAGAGUUUUACAUCUUAAAAAGAGAUGGAGGAGGGAAAAAGAAAUACAAGGAUAAAAAACCUAUACUGUUAUUGCAUUCUGGGAGGCUGCAUGGCUUGAAUGGAUAAUGACUCCUCUGCCCAAUCGAUGGUCUCAUUGCAUUCAAAAGAAGUCAGUAUGGAUGAAAUCACAGCUCAGAUUCAGAAUCUGUAAUGAAGCUGUCAGGGUCUGGGGAAGAAGCCUGUUUGCCUGCUGGAAGCUCAGGGUCUUCAGAAAAAUCUUACUGCUUGGCUGCUUGUGAGGCCCAGUGACUGCUGCAUUUGUCAGAAGUCUGUUCAAAUAUGAAUUUUAAAAAGUGUUUGUGGUACAUUCCCUGAGUCAGAGCCACAGCAUGAGAUCUAGCAGGAACACAUGCUCUUAAUCAUCUAAGGCAGCCCAGGGAAGCUAUGUGGCAGAGGAAACAGCAGGAGUUUCUAAUAUGCAUCUAAUAAGUCUCAUGGACCAGCCUCUCGUAUCUUCCCUGGUGCUCCCUGGGGCUGUCUGCCCCGUGGGCAAGGGAACCAAACCCAGCUCUGACAUAAACCCUGCUGAUUUCUGCAGCAUCUCCUCAGAAAUUACCUUGGCCCAAGCUGAACACUUCAAAUUGACCUAUUGGGAAAGAAUUAAGGAUGGGGGAGAAAUACUGAUGGAGAUCUGAAGUUUGUGGGUCUCCUUUACAUUGUUAACUGUUCAGCAACAGCUUCUGCACAGUUUCAAAAUAAAAAGCAGUCAGAAGCA